CCUUAGACGAAAAACAGAGCAGUACGAAACAGAGGCUUCUUAUCACGCAGGCAACGGAAAAUCUAGGGUUCUUUACAAAUCACUAAUUCUCGAACUCAGAAUCGAUUGUUUGACUGGUGUCAAUUGGACUGGGCCUACGUAUUAGCUUGAGAAGUUUUGAGGAACCGGAUUUGCAGGCGAGCAAUCUACGAGUUAGGAUUUC